ensembl:piRNA 21ur-13663 ncRNA
UAAACGAAAAAUUUCAUUGAA